CCUACGGGGGGCUGCAGUAGGGAAUUUUCGACAAUGGGCGCAAGCCUGAACGAGCAAUGCCGCGUGAACGAGGAAGGUCUUCGGAUCGUAAAGUUCUGUUGAAGGGGAAAAAGAGCGGAGAGAGGAAAUGGUCUCCGAUUGAUAUUACCCUUCGAGGAAGUCACGGCUAACUACGUGCCAGCAGCCGCGGUAAUACGUAGGUGGCGAGCGUUAUCCGGAAUGAUUGGGCGUAAAGGGUGCGUAGGCGGCCUGCUAAGUCUGGAGUGAAAGGUACCGGCUCAACCGGGACAGGCUCUGGAAACUGGCGGGCUAGAGAGCAGGAGAGGGCGGUAGAACUCCAUGUGUAGCGGUAAAAUGCGUAGAUAUAUGGAAGAACACCAGUGGCGAAGGCGGCCGCCUGGCCUGUUACUGACGCUGAGGCACGAAAGCGUGGGGAGCAAAUAGGAUUAGAUACCCGAGUAGUC
rnacentral:rRNA from 1 species